AGUCGAGGGGCAGCAUGAUUUGUAGCAAUACAGAUUGAUGGCGACCGGCGCACGGGUGAGUAACGCGUAUGCAACUUACCUAUCAGAGGGGGAUAGCCCGGCGAAAGUCGGAUUAAUACCCCAUAAAACAGGGGUCCCGCAUGGGAAUAUUUGUUAAAGAUUCAUCGCUGAUAGAUAGGCAUGCGUUCCAUUAGGCAGUUGGCGGGGUAACGGCCCACCAAACCGACGAUGGAUAGGGGUUCUGAGAGGAAGGUCCCCCACAUUGGUACUGAGACACGGACCAAACUCCUACGGGAGGUAGCAGUGAGGAAUAUUGGUCAAUGGCCGAGAGGCUGAACCAGCCAAGUCGCGUGAAGGAAGAAGGAUCUAUGGUUUGUAAACUUCUUUUAUAGGGGAAUAAAGUGGAGGACGUGUCCUUUUUUGUAUGUACCCUAUGAAUAAGCAUCGGCUAACUCCGUGCCAGCAGCCGCGGUAAUACGGAGGAUGCGAGCGUUAUCCGGAUUUAUUGGGUUUAAAGGGUGCGUAGGUGGUGAUUUAAGUCAGCGGUGAAAGUUUGUGGCUCAACCAUAAAAUUGCCGUUGAAACUGGGUUACUUGAGUGUGUUUGAGGUAGGCGGAAUGCGUGGUGUAGCGGUGAAAUGCAUAGAUAUCACGCAGAACUCCGAUUGCGAAGGCAGCUUACUAAACCAUAACUGAC
rnacentral:rRNA from 1 species